rnacentral:misc_RNA from 1 species
GAAAUGCGAUAAGUAAUGUGAAUUGCAGAAUUCCGUGAAUCAUCGAAUCUUUGAACGCACAUUGCGCCCUCUGGUAUUCCGGGGGGCAUGCCUGUCCGAGCGUCAUUGCAACCCUCAAGCCCGGCUUGUGUGAUGGGCGCGCGUCCCCAUUAGGGGACGAGCCCAAAAGGCAGUGGCGGCGUCGCGGUUAUCCGAAUUGCCUAAGUGUAUGGGGCUCUGUCACGCACUAUGGCUAGGACCGGCGCCAGCCCAACUCUAGUUAUCUUUCUAUGGUUGACCUCGGAUCAGGUAGGGAUACCCGCUGAACUUAA